rnacentral:rRNA from 1 species
CGGGACACGUGGUAUCCUGUCUGAAUAUGGGGGGACCAUCCUCCAAGGCUAAAUACUCCUGACUGACCGAUAGUGAACCAGUACCGUGAGGGAAAGGCGAAAAGAACCCCGGCGAGGGGAGUGAAAAAGAACCUGAAACCGUGUACGUACAAGCAGUGGGAGCACAGAGCAAUCUGUGUGACUGCGUACCUUUUGUAUAAUGGGUCAGCGACUUAUAUUCUGUAGCAAGGUUAACCGAAUAGGGGAGCCGAAGGGAAACCGAGUCUUAACUGGGCGUUAAGUUGCAGGGUAUAGACCCGAAACCCGGUGAUCUAGCCAUGGGCAGGUUGAAGGUUGGGUAACACUAACUGGAGGACCGAACCGACUAAUGUUGAAAAAUUAGCGGAUGACUUGUGGCUGGGGGUGAAAGGCCAAUCAAACCGGGAGAUAGCUGGUUCUCCCCGAAAGCUAUUUAGGUAGCGCCUCGUGAAUUCAUCUCCGGGGGUAGAGCACUGUUUCGGCAAGGGGGUCAUCCCGACUUACCAACCCGAUGCAAACUGCGAAUACCGGAGAAUGUUAUCACGGGAGACACACGGCGGGUGCUAACGUCCGUCGUGAAGAGGGAAACAACCCAGACCGCCAGCUAAGGUCCCAAAGUCAUGGUUAAGUGGGAAACGAUGUGGGAAGGCCCAGACAGCCAGGAUGUUGGCUUAGAAGCAGCCAUCAUUUAAAGAAAGCGUAAUAGCUCACUGGUCGAGUCGGCCUGCGCGGAAG